CUUGACGACCAUAGCGAGGUGGUCCCACCCCUUCCCAUCCCGAACAGGACCGUGAAACACCUUAGCGCCGAUGAUAGUGGACGUACGUCUGUGAAAG
rnacentral:rRNA from 1 species